rnacentral:rRNA from 1 species
AGCAGCCGCGGUAAUUCCAGCUCCAAUAGCGUAUAUUAAAAUUGUUGCAGUUAAAAAGCUCGUAGUUGAAUUUCGGGAUUAGUACGUUGGUCGUGCCUUCGGUACGUACUGGUGUUACUGAUUCCUACCUUCUGACGAACCAUCAUGUCAUUUAUUUGGUGUGGCGGGGAAUCAGGACUGUUACUUUGAAAAAAUUAGAGUGUUUAAAGCAGGCUCGCGCUUGAAUACAUUAGCAUGGAAUAAUGAAAUAGGACGUCGACCCUAUUUUGUUGGUUUCUAGGAUUGACGUAAUGAUUAAUAGGGAUAGUUGGGGGCAUUAGUAUUCAAUUGUCAGAGGUGAAAUUCUUGGAUUUAUUGAAGACUAACUACUGCGAAAGC